rnacentral:tRNA from 1 species
GGGCCAGUAGCUCAGUUGGUUAGAGCGGGGGACUCAUAAUCCCUAGGUCGUGGGUUCAAGUCCUACCUGGCCUA